ACGAAGGGGGCUAGCGUUGCUCGGAAUCACUGGGCGUAAAGGGCGCGUAGGCGGCGUUUUAAGUCGGGGGUGAAAGCCUGUGGCUCAACCACAGAAUGGCCUUCGAUACUGGGACGCUUGAGUAUGGUAGAGGUUGGUGGAAGUGCGAGUGGAGAGGUGAAAGGAGAAGAGAUAAGGAAGAACACAGGUGGCGAAGGAGGAAAACUGGACAAAAACUGAAGCUGAGGAGAGAAAGCGAGGGGAGAAAAAAG
rnacentral:rRNA from 1 species